rnacentral:rRNA from 1 species
UGUGAGUGGUACCCUGCUUCCAGGAAAAGCCACUAAGCUUCAGCUACACACGACCGUACCGCAAACCGACACUGGUGCGCGAGAUGAGUAUUCUAAGGCGCUUGAGAGAACUCAGGAGAAGGAACUCGGCAAAUUGACACCGUAACUUCGGAAGAAGGUGUGCCUUUAGUAGGUGAAGGGAUUUACUCCUGGAGCCCAAUGAGGUUGCAAAAAAUCGGUGGCUGCGACUGUUUAUUAAAAACACAGCACUCUGCAAACACGAAAGUGGACGUAUAGGGUGUGACGCCUGCCCGGUGCUGGAAGAUUAAAUGAUGGGGUGCAAGCUCUUGAUUGAAGUCCCAGUAAACGGCGGCCGUAACUAUAGCGGUCCUAAGGUAGCGAAAUUCCUUGUCGGGUAAGUUCCGACCUGCACGAAUGGCGUAACGAUGGCCACACUGUCUCCUCCUGAGACUCAGCGAAGUUGAAAUGUUUGUGAUGAUGCAAUCUCCCCGCGGAAAGACGGAAAGACCCCAUGAACCUUUACUGUAGCUUUGUAUUGGACUUUGAACAGAUCUGUGUAGGAUAGGUGGGAGGCUUUGAAGUAGGGUCGCUAGAUCUUAUGGAGCCAACGUUGAAAUACCACCCUGGUGUGUUUGAGGUUCUAACCUAGGUCCAUUAUCUGGAUCGGGGACAGUGCAUGGUAGGCAGUUUGACUGGGGCGGUCUCCUCCCAAAGCGUAACGGAGGAGUUCGAAGGUACGCUAGUUACGGUCGGACAUCGUGACGAUAGUGCAAUGGCAUAAGCGUGCUUAACUGCGAGACUGACAAGUCGAGCAGAUGCGAAAGCAGGACAUAGUGAUCCGGUGGUUCUGUAUGGAAGGGCCAUCGCUCAACGGAUAAAAGGUACUCUGGGGAUAGCAGGCUGAUACCGCCCAAGAGUUCAUAUCGACGGCGGUGUUUGGCACCUCGAUGUCGGCUCAUCUCAUCCUGGGGCUGUAGCCGGUCCCAAGGGUAUGGCUGUUCGCCAUUUAAAGAGGUACGUGAGCUGGGUUUAAAACGUCGUGAGACAGUUUGGUCCCUAUCUUCCGUGGGCGCUGCAGAUUUGAGGAAGCCUGCUCCUAGUACGAGAGGACCGGAGUGGACACACCUCUGGUGUAUCGGUUGUCACGCCAGUGGCAUUGCCGAGUAGCUAAGUGUGGAAGAGAUAACCGCUGAAAGCAUCUAAGCGGGAAACUCGUUUCAAGAUGAGAUCUGCCGGGGCCUUGAGCCCCCUAAAGAGUCGUUCAAGACCAGGACGUUGAUAGGUCAGGUGUGGAAGCGCAGUAAUGCGUUAAGCUAACUGAUACUAAUUGCUCGUGCGGCUUGACCC